UACGGAGGGGGCUAGCGUUGUUCGGAAUUACUGGGCGUAAAGCGCACGUAGGCGGCUUUGCAAGUUAGAGGUGAAAGCCCGGAGCUUAACUCCGGAAUUGCCUUUAAAACUGCAUCGCUAGAAUUGUGGAGAGGUGAGUGGAAUUCCGAGUGUAGAGGUGAAAUUCGUAGAUAUUCGGAAGAACACCAGUGGCGAAGGCGACUCACUGGACACAUAUUGACGCUGAGGUGCGAAAGCGUGGGGAGCAAACGGG
rnacentral:rRNA from 1 species